GAUGAACGCUGGCGGCGUGCCUAAUACGUGCAAGUCGAGCGAACAGAUGAGGAGCUUGCUCCUCUGACGUUAGCGGCGGACGGGUGAGUAACACGUGGAUAACCUACCUAUAAGACUGGGAUAACUUCGGGAAACCGGAGCUAAUACCGGAUAAUAUAUUGAACCGCAUGGUUCAAUAGUGAAAGACGGUUUUGCUGUCACUUAUAGAUGGAUCCGCGCCGCAUUAGCUAGUUGGUAAGGUAACGGCUUACCAAGGCAACGAUGCGUAGCCGACCUGAGAGGGUGAUCGGCCACACUGGAACUGAGACACGGUCCAGACUCCUACGGGAGGCAGCAGUAGGGAAUCUUCCGCAAAGGGCGAAAGCCUGACGGAGCAACGCCGCGCGAGUGAUGAAGGUCUUCGGAUCGUAAAGCUCUGUUAUUAGGGAAGAACAAAUGUGUAAGUAACUAUGCACGUCUUGACGGUACCUAAUCAGAAAGCCACGGCUAACUACGUG
rnacentral:rRNA from 1 species